AGAGUUUGAUCCUGGCUCAGAUUGAACGCUGGCGGCAGGCCUAACACAUGCAAGUCGAACGGUAACAGGAAGAAGCUUGCUCUUUGCUGACGAGUGGCGGACGGGUGAGUAAUGUCUGGGAAACUGCCUGAUGAGGGGGAUAACUACUGGAAACGGUAGCUAAUACCGCAUAACGUCGCAAGACCAAAAAGGGGGACCUUCGGGCCUCUUGCCAUCGGAUGUGCCCAGAUGGGAUUAGCUAGUAGGUGGGGUAACGGCUCACCUAGGCGACGAUCCCUAGCUGGUCUGAGAGGAUGACCAGCCACACUGGAACUGAGACACGGUCCAGACUCCUACGGGAGGCAGCAGUGGGGAAUAUUGCAUAAUGGGCGCAAGCCUGAUGCAGCCAUGCCGCGUGUAUGAAGAAGGCCUUCGGGUUGUAAAGUACUUUCAGCGGGGAGGAAGGGAGUAAAGUUAAUACCUUUGCUCAUUGACGUUACCCGCAGAAGAAGCACCGGCUAACUCCGUG
rnacentral:rRNA from 1 species